CCUACGGGUGGCAGCAGUGGGGAAUAUUGGACAAUGGGCGAAAGCCUGAUCCAGCCAUGCCGCGUGUGUGAAGAAGGCCUUCGGGUUGUAAAGCACUUUCAGUGGGGAAGAAAGCCUUGGGGCUAAUACCCUCGAGGAAGGACAUCACCCACAGAAGAAGCACCGGCUAACUCCGUGCCAGCAGCCGCGGUAAUACGGAGGGUGCGAGCGUUAAUCGGAAUUACUGGGCGUAAAGCGCGCGUAGGCGGUCUGAUAAGCCGGUUGUGAAAGCCCCGGGCUCAACCUGGGAACGGCAUCCGGAACUGUCAGGCUAGAGUGCAGGAGAGGAAGGUAGAAUUCCCGGUGUAGCAGUGAAAUGCGUAGAGAUCGGGAGGAAUACCAGUGGCGAAGGCGGCCUUCUGGACUGACACUGACGCUGAGGUGCGAAAGCGUGGGUAGCAAACAGGAUUAGAUACCCCUGUAGUC
rnacentral:rRNA from 1 species